GGCACCAUGGCCUAAUGGUAAGGCGUUGCUUUCCGGUGGCAAAGAUUGUGGGUAUGUUAGCACCUCAAUUCCCCCAUUGCUUAGCCGUCCACUAACCAAAGUCCGCAGGUUCGAGUCCCACUGGUGUCG